rnacentral:rRNA from 1 species
UACGGAGGGUGCGAGCGUUGUCCGGAAUCAUUGGGCGUAAAGGGCGCGUAGGUGGCGGGACAAGCGUGCGGUGAAAGCCUGGGGCUCAACCCCGGGUCAGCCGUGCGAACUGUUUUGCUUGAGCACUGUAGAGGCAGGCGGAAUUCCGGGUGUAGCGGUGGAAUGCGUAGAGAUCGUAAGGAAGACCAGUGGCGAAGGCGAGUCUCUGGACAGUUGCUGACGCUGAGGCACGAAGGCCAGGGGAGCAAACGGG